rnacentral:rRNA from 1 species
AAUAGAUACCCUGGUAGUCCACGCCGUAAACGAUGAGUGCUAAGUGUUAGAGGGUUUCCGCCCUUUAGUGCUGCAGCUAACGCAUUAAGCACUCCGCCUGGGGAGUACGGUCGCAAGACUGAAACUCAAAGGAAUUGACGGGGGCCCGCACAAGCGGUGGAGCAUGUGGUUUAAUUCGAAGCAACGCGAAGAACCUUACCAGGUCUUGACAUCCUCUGACAACUCUAGAGAUAGAGCGUUCCCCUUCGGGGGACAGAGUGACAGGUGGUGCAUGGUUGUCGUCAGCUCGUGUCGUGAGAUGUUGGGUUAAGUCCCGCAACGAGCGCAACCCUUGAUCUUAGUUGCCAGCAUUUAGUUGGGCACUCUAAGGUGACUGCCGGUGACAAACCGGAGGAAGGUGGGGAUGACGUCAAAUCAUCAUGCCCCUUAUGACCUGGGCUACACACGUGCUACAUUGGCCGGUACAAAGGGCUGCAAAACCGCGAGGUUGAGCGAAUCCCAAAAAGCCGGUCCCGGUUCGGAUUGGAGGCUGC